rnacentral:rRNA from 1 species
UACGAAGGGGGCUAGCGUUGUUCGGAUUUACUGGGCGUAAAGCGCACGUAGGCGGUUUGUUAAGUCAGAGGUGAAAUCCCGGAGCUUAACUCCGAAACUGCAUUCGAUACUGCCGUGCUUGAGGACUGGAGAGGAGACUGGAAUUUACGGUGUAGCGGUGAAAUGCGUAGAUAUCGUAAGGAAGACCAGUGGCGAAGGCGGGUCUCUGGACAGUUCCUGACGCUGAGGCACGAAGGCCAGGGGAGCAAACGGG